UGGUGGGUAGUUUGACUGGGGCGGUCUCCUCCUAAAGAGUAACGGAGGAGCACGAAGGUUGGCUAAUCCUGGUCGGACAUCAGGAGGUUAGUGCAAUGGCAUAAGCCAGCUUGACUGCGAGCGUGACGGCGCGAGCAGGUGCGAAAGCAGGUCAUAGUGAUCCGGUGGUUCUGAAUGGAAGGGCCAUCGCUCAACGGAUAAAAGGUACUCCGGGGAUAACAGGCUGAUACCGCCCAAGAGUUCAUAUCGACGGCGGUGUUUGGCACCUCGAUGUCGGCUCAUCACAUCCUGGGGCUGAAGUAGGUCCCAAGGGUAUGGCUGUUCGCCAUUUAAAGUGGUACGCGAGCUGGGUUUAGAACGUCGUGAGACAGUUCGGUCCCUAUCUGCCGUGGGCGCUGGAGAACUGAGGGGGGCUGCUCCUAGUACGAGAGGACCGGAGUGGACGCAUCACUGGUGUUCGGGUUGUCAUGCCAAUGGCACUGCCCGGU
rnacentral:rRNA from 5 species